rfam:Cricetulus griseus cell line CHO-K1, whole genome shotgun sequence.
GAGAAUCAUCUCUCCCAGAUAAUGGCACUCUCAAACAAGUUUCCAAGUUGUUUGAAAGGCUGUUUCUUGGUCAGAAGACUCUC